GGUCAAGAAGAGAAGCGCAAACGGUGGAUGCCUUGGCAGUAAGAGGCGAAGAAGGACGUGGAAUCCUGCGAAAAGCUAUGGGGAGCUGGAAACGAGCGUUGAGCCAUAGAUGUCCGAAUGGGGGAACCCGGCUGCAGCGAUGCGGUCAUUUGCAUUUGAAUACAUAGGAUGCAAAGGCGAACUCGGGGAACUGAAACAUCUAAGUACCCGAAGGAAAAGAAAUCAAGAGAGAUUCUCCAAGUAGCGGCGAGCGAACGGGGAGGAGCCUGGCGUGAUUUAUUAUUGAACUGAGUAGAACAAUUUGGGAAAGUUGGCCGAAGAGGGUGAAAGCCCCGUAUACGAAGGUUUGAUGAGGAACUAGGCACGCGAACAAGUAGGCCGGGACACGUGAAAUCCUGGUUGAAGAUGGGUGGACCAUCAUCCAAGGCUAAAUACUACUUACUGACCGAUAGUGAACCAGUACCGUGAGGGAAAGGUGAAAAGAACCCCGGAGAGGGGAGUGAAAUAGAAUCUGAAACCGUUUGCGUACAAGCAGUGGGAGCAUGGUUUAGGCUGUGUGACUGCGUACCUUUUGUAUAAUGGGUCAGCGAGUUACUUUCAGUGGCGAGGUUAACUGAAUAAGGGAGCCGUAGAGAAAUCGAGUCUGAAUAGGGCGAUAGUCGCUGGGAGUAGACCCGAAACCGGGCGAUCUAGCCAUGUGCAGGAUGAAGGUUGGGUAACACCAACUGGAGGUCCGAACCGGGUAAUGUUGAAAAAUUAUCGGAUGACGUGUGGCUAGGAGUGAAAGGCUAAUCAAGCCCGGAGAUAGCUGGUUCUCCCCGAAAGCUAUUUAGGUAGCGCCUCGUGAAUGAUUACUGGGGGUAGAGCACUGUUUCGGCUAGGGGGCUGUCAUGGCUUACCAAACCGAUGCAAACUCCGAAUACCGGCUAAUUGAAUCACGGGAGACACACGGCGGGUGCUAACGUCCGUCGUGGAGAGG
rnacentral:rRNA from 1 species